GAUGAACGCUAGCGGCAGGCCUAAUACAUGCAAGUCGAGGGGCAGCGGGGUAGCAAUACUGCCGGCGACCGGCGAACGGGUGCGUAACACGUAUGCAACCUACCUUAAACUGGGAGAUAGCCCGGGGAAACUCGGAUUAAUACCCCAUAAUAAAUUGGUUCACACGAUUGAAUUGUUAAAGAUUUAUCGGUUUAAGAUGGGUAUGCGUUCGAUUAGCUAGUUGGUAAGGUAACGGCUUACCAAGGCUACGAUCGAUAGGGGGUCUGAGAGGAUGAUCCCCCACACUGGUACUGAGAUAAGGACCAGACUCCUACGGGAGGCAGCAGUAGGGAAUAUUGGUCAAUGGAGGCAACUCUGAACCAGCCAUGCCGCGUGUAGGAAGAAGGCGUUCUGCGUUGUAAACUACUUUUGAUUGGGAACAAUGACUCUUGCGAGAGUAGCUGAGUGUACCAAUAGAAUAAGCCACGGCUAACUACGUGCCAGCCGCCGCGGUAA
rnacentral:rRNA from 1 species